rnacentral:rRNA from 1 species
UUAUAACAAAGAUAGUAGAGAAAGUUUUUCGCCAAAUGAAUGAGAGACUAGUGUAUCAGUUAUUGGUGAGCUAAAGGUUCGCUAUGUAUAUGACGCUUAACUGUGUCAGAAGAUGAUCAGUCCCAUGGAAGUAAGACACGGUUCAGAGUCGUUCGCGAGGCGGCAGUAUUGGACAUUGUUCGAUGAGGUAAAGCAGCAAGCAGCAACCCCGCGUGGAAGUAUUCGCGUUUCGGAGCGUAAACUCCUCUUCUUUGGGAAGAAAUGGUACGGCCCAAAGGAAUAAGCACUGGUUCAAUCCGUGCCAGCACCCGCGGUAAUAUGGAGCGUGCGAAAGUUUCUUUGAAUCACUGUGCGUAAAAGAAGCGUAGGCGGAUCAACAAGUAUCAGGUGAAAUAGGGCGGAUCCCCCAGACAGCUGUUGGGGAAAUUGGUAGUCUAGAUGAGGGAGAGGCAGAAAAAACUUUUGGUGUAGGGGUAAAAUCCGUAGAUAUCAAGGAGAAUACCCAUUGCGAAGACGAUCUCCUGGAAAUCAACGAACGUUAAUGCGGGAAAGGGGGGGGGGCAACCAGGAUUAUUAACCCUGGUAGUUCUCGCCCUCAUAGACGUAUAAAAGUUGUUGGUGUGCUAAUCAAGGCAGUAAUGCACCUAACGCAUUAAGUAUUCCCCCUGGGGAGUACGGUCGCAAGAUUAAAACUCACAGGAAGAGACGGGGGGGGGCACAAACAAUGGAGCAUGUGGUUUAUUUUGAAGAUACGCGAAGAACCUUACCUGGGCUUGAUAUCCACGGAAAUGUUAGAAAAUAGAGAGUGCUAG